ACGUAAUUGGGUUAUUAAAAAAUAGGAAAAAUAUAAAUUGAAAAAUCUCAAAACUUGAGCAACAAGAAGCUUUUAUAUACUCCAACGAUCAUAUCUCAUCAAAUCUCUUUGAGACACGAAUGCUCCUUCUGGAUGGUUCUCGGCGACGUUCAGUGGAGUGUCCUCUGGCUACAUUCCGAUCGAAAAGCUCACCUUCCUCACAAACCUCCAUAACCAGAUGAACAUCAUCGUUACCUUUUCCUUCCUCUUCGAUAUCGAUGUACAAGCCAAAGCCCCUUUCGUCUCUCUAUCAGUACAACACUUGAUCCCAAACUCUCCAUCGUCUAGUACAAGCCCCAAUGUUUGCUUGUCGCUGAUUCCCAUCCGGUGAUUGAGCGAAACCCUAAGUGGAGCCGGCGAGAAAAUGCGAGGGUCAUGUGUCGCUUGUAUCUAUCUCGAGAUUGCAUCAGUUGCAUUGACGUCAGGAAGAAGGUGCUACCUGCUGUUAUUGCUAGGCAGAGCAACCCAUGGCACCAAAAGGAUGGUGUCUUCAUGUACUUCGAAGACAAUGCUGGUGUCAUCGUAAACCACCCAAAGGAGAGAUGAAGGGUUCUGCUAUUACUAGAUGAACUUGUUUUGCGGAUAAUGCAUGAUUCAAGCUUACUCAUGAAACAUCAUUUGUGAAAGCCCACACGAGUUUUUGCCGGUCUUCUUUUACAUUGGAUCCUUCUUCCGGCAAUUUUUCAAGUCCGUUGGCAACUUGGCAUUAUGAAAUGGAUUCAUUGAGGUUCACCUUGUUUGAGGAAGUAAAUUUGAAUUUAAAAAAUAUAUCAAAAGGUCUCUGGAAGAUGACUACAAAAUAAUUGUGGUUGUGAGGUAAAAUAUAGUUUGCUAUACUCUCCUCUUCAAAAUAAGGUUAGGCUUCUUCGUCCCUAGUUUUUAUAAAAUUUUCGGUAAAUGUUUUUCAUAUCUUAUAAAUGUUUGCUUUUAUACUGUAUCUUUGAUUUUUUGAUGUGCUUCUUGAAAUCAUGUUUUUGUUUCAAGAGUAAAUAGACUUGAGAGAUGUUGAGCAAGGAAUGAAAUUAUAUAGUUAGUUGUAGGUGGUUAGGAGUGGAGUAUUGAGCUCUAGUUUAAUAUUGUCAUCCAUUUUUAGGGAAGCCAAGCUUUCAUUUAGAUAAAAUUAAAAAUUACAAAGAGAAUAAAAAAUAAACCCUCCAAAUGAUGGUCCCUUAUACUAUAAGGGGCCUAAUACAUCAAAACGAGACAUAAAUGCUUCUCACACAAAGAUGUGAUGUUAUUAGCCUUUAAGCGGCCUAUAAUAAAGCAAAAAAAAUAUAAAAAGUAUUUGAAACAAGCUUUUAGACACGUUAGAAAUUAUAUAUGGUUUGGAUUUCAAAGUACAAAGUUGGUUGAACAAUUCAUAAAUUUGAAAAAUUAAGUGAUAUGGAGGAUUGAAGUAGGUUAUUUUAGCCUAACUCCAUUUUGGGGCAUGGAUUAAGCAAAAUGGGGAUUAGUGUUAUUUUACGUGGAAAUCUCUGCCACACACUGUUUCGUUUUCUAGGUCAGGUGCAUUUUAAGGCGACUGACAAAUUUUGUUGUUCUGAGUGUCAAUCUUGGUCAAGAUCGACCUUGAGAUUCUUUCCAAAAUUAUAGAACUAUUUGAAAAAAGUUUCUCGAUCUCUCUUGAGGCUAUCUCGGCCAACUUUGGCUCGAGAUUAUACUACAUUAGCUUAUGUUCUUUAGCUCGGGAUUAUCUCGGGCCAACUUUGGCUCGAAAUCAUACUACAUUACCUUAUCUUCUUUAGCUCGGGGCUUUGGCCCGAGAUAGCCCUGAGCUAAAGAACAUAAGCAUAAUGUAGUAUGAUCACAGGCCAAAGCUGUCCCGAGCUAAAGAACAUAAGUAUUAUGUAGUAUGAUCUUGGGCUAAGGUUGCCCAAAGAUGUUCUUGAGAGAGAUUGAGAAAUUUUCUUUAAAGAGUUAUUUAAAUUUGGGAAGAACUCUUGUAGUCGAUCUUGGUCGAAAUUGACUUCGAGAAAAACAAAAUUAAUGGUGGUCUCGAGAUGCACCCGAUCGAGAAAGUGGAAUAGAGUGUGACAAGGAGAAAAACAACCCUAAUCCCUUUUUUGCUUAAUUCAUGCCCCAAUCGUAGAGUGAAGUAAAAUAACCCACUCCCCUCCCCUCAAGUCUGCACCCCAAACACGCCUUAGGAGAUACAUAAGGUUAUAAAUUGUUAGUUUAAAGUAUGAGAUGAGACUAAAACUUUUUGAUGGACGACACCAAGUCGUUCUUUGAAUUGAAAUGUAGAUAAUUGGAUGCAAAGCUGGAAAAUUGGACUAAUAAAGGUCUGUAGAAGACUCAUGGUCGAUAUAUUAAAAGGGGAAAACACAAAUUUGUUGUUGAUAGUCUUGUAUUCCAUGAUGAAGGAAGAUUAGAGAGGAUAAGAGAAUUUUGGAUUAAAGUUUGUAAUCUUAGUUCAAACUUUUUUGAUUGGUGAAGUCUAAUUAUUCUUUGGAUUAAAAAGCAAUUAUUUAGUUGAAAGAGUUCAUACAAGUGACGUAUUAAGAGAUAUAAAGGAUACAAUAAAUUUGGUUUAAGGUUGGAGAAUAUUGUUAAAGGAUUAAUGAAAUUUAGUUGAAGGUUGGAGAUUCGAUUUCAACAUUUGGAUUUAAUGGACCAUAACCAUUCUUUAGGAUAUAAAUAACAAAAAGUGGUUUGAGAGUUCAAAAAUUGGAAAAAUUACGAGAUGCAUGCAUAAGAUUGGAGAAUUUGGGUUUAAAGUCUCCAUUGGACUACAACUUUUUUGAAUGAAGGCAUCAUGUCCUUGCUUGAUGAAAUAGUUGAUUAUUGGAUGUAGGGUCAAGACAACGCGCAAAUAAUAAGACGGGUGGAGGAUUUGGAUUAAGGUUGAAGAAUGUAAGUUUGGUUGAAGAGUUUGGAAAUGAACAAAUUAAGAGGGACUUAAGAUAACUUGGUUGGUUUAAGGUUCAAGAGUACAAAAUUGGUUGAAGAGUUGAUAAAUUGGAAAAAUUUUAGAAUGCAAGAAUAAAGACUGAUUUAAAGUAUAAAUAUAUAAGUCUACAAGGUUUUGAAGGAAGACACCAAGUCGUUCUUUGCAUUAAAUUGUAGAUCAUUGGAUGUGAAGCUAAGAAAUGAGAGAGUAAAGGUACUUAUAAGACUUAUGGACGAUAUGUUGAAAAAAUAAAAUGACAAAUUAGUUGUUGAUAAUUAUCUAUUUCACGAUGAAGAUAAGAAAGGAGAAGAAUUUUGGAUUAAAAUAUGUGAUUGGACUUCAACUUUUUUUCAUUAAGGUAGGAUGUUGAAGAUUUCGAAAAAUGAACAAAUUAAGAGACAACAAAAAAUGAAGUAGUUUGAUUUAAGGGUUGAGAUUCAACUUCAAGAUUUGGUUCAAGGUUGGAGGUUGAAGAAUAUAAAUUUGGUUGAAGAGUUUGGAAACGAAUAAAUUAAGAGUCAUUUAAAAUUUAUCAAAUUUAAAUUUCGUGACAUUUAUUUGCCGUCAUUGUAUGGUCUGUCAUGAUGUAAAAAACCGACACGAUUGAUCUUUCUUGUGAUGAAAAAUAAUUGUAAAAAAAGAAGAGUGGCUAACCUCUAUAUUUUGAAAAAGAUUUUAAGAUGAUGAAAAGUUAUUUUUGACAGUUACUUCCAAGUUUAAAGUUAAUAAAAUCUAAAUAUGAUGUGAUGAUAUAGUUAACAUUGUAUAAUGUAAAAUAUACUGCAUAAUACAUGUUUUUAUUUUAAAAAAAUGAAUUGAGUUUGAAACGCAAUAUACAAUAUAUAUAAAUUCAAAUUUGGAAUAACUUAGUUUUUAAUUUACACCAUUAAUGUAUUUGAACUAUAUAAAAAAGAAAAACAAAAGAGAAAAGAGAACACUUUAAUAACCGUUGAGCCGUACGUAAUUGGGUUUGACUAUUAAAAAAUAGGAAAAAUAUAAAUUGAAAAAUCUCAAAACUUGAGCAACAAGAAGCUUUUAUAUACUCCAACGAUCAUAUCUCAUCAAAUCUCUUUGAGACACGAAUGCUCCUUCUGGAUGGUUCUCGGCGACGUUCGGUGGAGUGUCCUCUGGCUACAUUCCGAUCGAAAAGCUCACCUUCCUCACAAACCUCCAUAACCAGAUGAACAUCAUCGUUACCUUUUCCUUCCUCUUCGAUAUCGAUGUACAAGCCAAAGCCCCUUUCAUCUCUCUAUCAGUACAACACUUGAUCCCAAACUCUCCAUCGUCUAGUACAAGCCCCAAUAUUUGCUUGUCGCUGAUUCCCGUCCGGUGAUUGAGCGAAACCCUAAGUGGAGCCAGCGAGAAAAUGCGAGGGUCAUGUGUCGCUUGUAUCUAUCUCGAGAUUGCAUCAGUUGCAUUGACGCCAGGAAGAAGGUGCUACCUGCUGUUAUUGCUAGGCAGAGCAACCCAUGGCACCGAAAGGAUGGUGUCUUCAUGUACUUCGAAGACAAUGCUGGUGUCAUCGUAAACCCCAAAGGAGAGAUGAAGGGUUCUGCUAUUACAGGGGGGUUCCAAUUGGAAAGGAAGGUGCUGAUCUUUGGCCCAGAAUUAAUGUUUGCAGAUCAGAAAAGGAAAUGAUUGAGAGAAAACCAUUUCUCGACUUUGCAGCGAUGGUUGGGGGUUGUGCAUAUGGAUUCUUUUGGGAAUUAACAAGAUUCGCGGUUGGAAGGCAUGGGGAGGAGGAGAGACCUCAACUCUCAAUUAUGAGUUCUCAAAUGAUGAACUUGUUUUGCGGAUAAUGCACGAUUCAGGCUUACUCACGAAACAUCAUCUGUGAAAGCCCAACACGAGUUUUUGCACAAAACUUCCGGUCUUCCUUUACAUUAGAUCUGAAACACCUACAGCAUGCUGUUUCGUUUUAGGGAUCCUUCUUCUGUAAGUUUUCAAGUCCGUUGGCAACUUGGCAUUAUGAAAUGGAUUCAUCGAGGUUCACCUUGUUUGAGGAAGUAAAUUUGAAUUUAAAAAAUAUAUCAAAAGGUGUCUAGAAGAUGACUACAAAAUAAUUGUGGUAGUGAGGUAAAAUAUAGUUUAUUAUACUCUCCUCUUCAAUAUAAGGUUAGGCUUCUUCGUCCCUAGUUUUUAUAAAAUUUUCAGUAAAUGUUUUUCAUAUCUUAUAAAUGUUUGCUUUUAUAACUGUAUCUUUGAUUUUUUGAUGUGCUUCUUGAAAUCAUGUUUUUGUUUCAAGAGUAAAUAGACUUGAGAGAUGUUGAGCAAGGAAUGAAAUUAUAUAGUUAGUUGUAGGUGGCUAGGAGUGGAGUAUUGAGCUCUAGUUUAAUAUUGUAUCCUUUUUUAGGGAAGCCAAGCUUUCAUUUAGAUAAAAUUAAAAAUUACAAAGAGAAUAAAAAAUAAACCCUCCAAAUGAUGGUCCCUUAUACUAUAAGGGGCCUAAUACAUCAAAACGAGACAUAAAUGCUUCUCACACAAAGAUGUGAUGUUAUUAGCCUUUAAGCGGCCUAUAAUAAAGCAAAAAAAUAUAUAAAAAGUAUUUGAAACAAGCUUUUAGACAGGUUAGAAAUUAUAUAUGGUUUGGAUUUCAAAGUACAAAGUUGGUUUAACAAUUCAUAAAUUCGAAAAAUUAAGUGAUAUGGAGGAUUGAAGUAGGUUAUUUUAGCCUAACUCCAUUUUGGGGCAUGGAUUAAGCAAAAUGGGGAUUAGUGUUAUUUUACGUGGAAAUCUCUGCCACACACUGUUUCGUUUUCUCGGUCAGGUGCAUUUUAAGGCGACUGACAAAUUUUGUUGUUCUCAGUGUCAAUCUUGGUCAAGAUCGACCUUGAGAUUCUUUCCAAAAUUAUAGAACUAUUUGAAAAAAGUUUCUCGAUCUCUCUUGAGGCUAUCUCGGCCAACUUUGGCUCGAGAUUAUACUACAUUAGCUUAUGUUCUUUAGCUCGGGAUUAUCUCGCGCCAACUUUGGCUCGAAAUCAUACUACGUUACCUUAUCUUCUUUAGCUCGGGGCUUUGGCCCGAGAUAGCCCUGAGCUAAAGAACAUAAGCAUAAUGUAGUAUGAUCACAGGCCAAAGCUGUCCCGAGCUAAAGAACAUAAAUAUUAUGUAGUAUGAUCUUUGGGCUAAGGUUGCCCAAAGAUGUUCUUGAGAGAGAUUGAGAAAUUUUCUUUAAAGAGUUAUUUAAAUUUGGGAAGAACUCUUGUAGUCGAUCUCGGUCGAAAUUGACCCCGAGAAAAACAAAAUUAAUGGUGGUCUCGAGAUGCACCCAAUCGAGAGAGUGGAAUAGAGUAUGACGAGGAGAAAAACAUCCAUAAUCCCUUUUUUGCUUAAUUCAUGCCCCAAUCGUAGAGUGGAGUAAAAUAACCCACUCCCCCCUCAAGUCUGCACCCCAAACACGCCUUAGGAGAUACAUAAGGUUAUAAAUUGUUAGUUUAAAGUAUGAAAUGAGACUAAAGCUUUUGGAUGGACGACACCAAGUCGUUCUUUGAAUUGAAAUGUAGAUAAUUGGAUGCAAAGCUGGAAAACUGGACUAAUAAAGGUCUGUAGAAGACUCAUGGUUGAUAUAUUAAAAAGGGGAAAACACAAAUUUGUUGUUGAUAGUCUUGUAUUCCAUGAUGAAGGAAGAUAAGAGAGGAUAAGAGAAUUUUGGAUUAAAGUUUGUAAUUUUAGUUCAAACUUUUUUGAUUGGGGAGGUCUAAUUAUUCUUUAGAUUAAAAAGCAAUUAUUUAGUUGAAAGAGUUCAUAAAAGUGACGUAUUAAGAGAUAUAAAGAUACAAUAAAUUUGGUUUAAGGUUGGAGAAUAUUGUUAAAGGAUUAAUGAAAUUUAGUUGAAGGUUGGAGAUUCGACUUCAACAUUUGGAUUUAAUGGACCAUAACCAUUCUUUAGGAUAUAAAGAACAACAAAAGUGGUUUGAGAGUUCAUAAAUUGGAAAAAUUACGAGAUGCAUGCAUAAGAUUGGAGAAUUUAGGUUUAAAGUCUCCAUUGGACUACAACUUUUUUGAAUGAAGGCAUCAUGUCCUUGUUUGAUGAAAUAGUUGAUUAUUGGAUGUAGGGUCAAGACAAUGCAAUGCGCAAAUAAUAAGACUUGGGGAGGAUUUGGAUUAAGGUUGAAGAAUGUAAAUUUGGUUGAAGAAUUUGGAAAUGAACAAAUUAAGAGUGACUUAAGAUAACUUGGUUUAAGGUUGAAGAAUUCAAAAUUGGUUGAAGAGUUGAAAAAUUGAAAAUUUUUAAGAGUACAAGAAUAUGGAUUGAUUUAAAGUAUGAGAUAUAUGGGUCUACAAGUUUUUGAAGGAAGACACCAAACCGUUCUUUUGCAUGAAAUUGUAGAUAAUUGGACGUGAAGCUAAGAAAUGAGAGAGUAAAGGUACUUAUAAGACUUAUGGACGAUAUAUUGAAAAAAUAAAAUGACAAAUUAGUUGUUGAUAAUUAUCUAUUUCAUGAUGAAGAUAAGAAAUGAGAAGAAUUUUGGAUUAAAGUAUGUGAUUGGACUUCAACUUUUUUUCAUUAAGGUAGGAUGUUGAAGAUUUCGAAAAAUGAACAAAUUAAGAGACAACAAAGACCGGAGUAGUUUGAUUUAAGGAUUGAGAUUGAACUUCAAGGUUUAAGGUUAUGCAUGUGCAACAAGAAGCUAAGAAUAGAUAUUGUUUAGAAAUUUGGUUUAAGGUUGGAGGUUGAAGAAUAUAAAUUUGGUUGAAGAGUUUAGAAACGAACAAAUUAAUAAUCACUUAAAGAUAAAUUGGUUAAUAAUCACUUAAAGAUAAAUUGGUUUAAGGUUGAAGAGUUGAUAAAUUGAUAAAUUUGAGAGUACAAGAAUAGAUAUUGUUUUAAAGUAUGAGAUGAGACUACAAGUUUUUUAUGGAAGACAUUGAGCUCUUCUUUUGCAUUAAAUUGUAGAGAUAUGAAGCUAAGAAAUGAGAGAGUAAAGAUACUUAUAAGACUCAUGUGCGAUAUAUUGAAAGAGAAAAAAGAAAAAAUGGUUGUUGAUACGAUGAAGAUAAGAAAGGAGAAGAUAAUUUUGGAUUAAAAUAUGUGAUUGGACUUCAACUUUUUUUUGAUUAAGAUAGAAUGUUUAAAUGUUAAAAAAAAAUGACCAAAUUAAGAGACAACAAAGAUUAGAGAAGUUUGAUUUAAGGAUUUAGAUUGAACUUCAAGAUUUGGUUUAAGGUUGGAUGUUGAAAAAUAUAAAAUUGGUUGAAGAGUUUGGAAACUAACAAAUUAAGAGUCAUUUAAAAUUUAUCAAAUUUAAAUUUCGUGAACAUUUAUUUGCAGUCAUUGUAUGGUUUAUCAUAAUAUAAAAAACCGACACAAUUGAUCUUUUUUAUGAUAAAAAAUAAUUGUCAUACAAGAAGAAUGGCUAACCUCUAUAAUUUUUUAAAAAGAUUUUAGAACGGUGAAAAGUUAUUUUUCUCACUUCCAAGUUACUUCCAAGUUUAAAAUUUAAACUUUGUGUUACAACAAUAAAAUCUAAAUAUGAUGUGCUUGUAUAAUGUAAAAUAUACUACAGAGUACACGUUUUAAUUUUAAAAAAUUGAAUUGAGUUUAAAACGCAAUAUACUAUAUAUAUAUAAUAUACAUUUUAAAACAUCAAAUUCAAAUUUGGAAUAACUUAUUUUUUAAUUUACACGAUGAAUGUAUUUGAACUAUAUAAAAAAGAAAAACAAAAUAGAAAAUAGAACACUUUACUAAUUGUUCAGCCGUACGUAAUUAGGUUUACUAUUAAAAAAUAGGAAAAAUAUAAAUUGAAAAACCCGAAAACUUGAGCAACAAGAAGCUUUAAUACGGUCAAAGGCGAAUGUUCCUUCUGGAUGGUUCUCGACGACGUUCGGUGGGGUGUCCUCUGGCUACAUUCCGAUCGAAAAGCUCACCUUCCUCACAAACCUCCACAACCAGAUGAACAUUAUCGUUACCUUGUAAGUCACUUUAAGCUUUCACUAUUUUCGGAUGUUCAGGCAAAUUUGACAAUGUAGCGAACUCUCGCCUUACAUCAUCUAUAUCCACCGCACUUCCUUCCUCUUCGACAUCGAUGUACAAGCCAAAGCCCCUUUCGUCUAUCUAUCAGUACGAUACGUGAUCCCAAACUCUACACGGCCUAGUACAAGCCCCAGUAUUUACUUGUCGCUGAUUCCCGUCCGGGGUGACGGAGCGAAUCCCUAAGUGAAGCCGGCGAGAAAACGGGGGUCGUGAUCCCUAACUCUCCAUGGCCUAGUUCAAGUCUGCGUCCGGUGAUUGAGCGAAACCCUAAGUGGAGCCGGCGAGGAAAUGUGGGGUCGGUUGUGAAGAAAAGAAGGUAUAUUUUGAAAAAAACAUGGGUCAUGUGCUGCUUCUAUCUAUCUCGAGAUUGCAUCAGUUGCAUUGACGUUAGGAAGAAGGUGCUACCUGCUGUUAUUGCUAAGCAAAGCAACCCAUGGCACCGAAAGGAUGGUGUCUUCAUGUACUUCGAAGACAAUGCUGGUGUCAUCGUAAACCCCAAAGGAGAGAUGAAGGGUUCUGCUAUUACAUGGGGGUUCCAAUUGGAAAGGAAUGUGAUGAUCUUUGGCCCAGAAUUAAUGUUUGCAGAUCAGAAAAGGAAAUGAUUGGGAGAAAACCAUUUCUCGACUUUGCAGCGAUGGUUGGGGGUUGUGCAUAUGGAUUCUUUUGGGAAUUAACAAGAUUCGAAGUUGGAAGGCAUGGGGAGGAGGAGAGACCUCAACUCUCAAUUAUGAGUUCUCAAAUGAUGAACUUGUUUUGCGGAUAAUGCACGAUUCAGGCUUACUCACGAAACAUCAUCUGUGAAAGCCCAACACGAGUUUUUGGACAAAACUUCCGAUCUUCCUUUACAUUAGAUCUGAAACACCUACAGCAUGCUGUUUCGUUUUAGGGAUCCUUCUUCUGUAAGUUUUCAAGUCCGUUGGCAACUUGGCAUUAUGAAAUGGAUUCAUCGAGGUUCACCUUGUUUGAGGAAGUAAAUUUGAAUUUAAAAAAUAUAUCAAAAGGUGUCUAGAAGAUGACUACAAAAUAAUUGUGGGAGUGAGGUAAAAUAUAGUUUGCUAUACUCUCCUCUUCAAAAUAAGGUUAGGCUUCUUCGUCCCUAGUUUUUAUAAAAUUUUCGGUAAAUGUUUUUCAUAUCUUAUAAAUGUUUGCUUUUAUACUGUAUCUUUGAUUUUUUGAUGUGCUUCUUGAAAUCAUGUUUUUGUUUCAAGAGUAAAUAGACUUGAGAGAUGUUGAGCAAGGAAUGAAAUUAUAUAGUUAGUUGUAGGUGGCUAGGAGUGGAAUAUUGAGCUCUAGUUUAAUAUUGUAUCCUUUUUGAGGGAAGCCAAGCUUUCAUUUAGAUAAAAUUAAAAAUUACAAAGAGAAUAAAAAAUAAACCCUCCAAAUGAUGGUCCCUUAUACUAUAAGGGGCCUAAUACAUCAAAACGAGACAUAAAUGCUUCUCACACAAAGAUGUGAUGUUAUUAGCCUUUAAGCGGCCUAUAAUAAAGCAAAAAAAAUAUAUAAAAAGUAUUUGAAACAAGCUUUUAGACAGGUUAGAAAUUAUAUAUGGUUUGGAUUUCAAAGUACAAAGUUGGUUUAACAAUUCAUAAAUUCGAAAAAUUAAGUGAUAUGGAGGAUUGAAGUAGGUUAUUUUAGCCUAACUCCAUGUUUGGGGCAUGGAUUAAGCAAAAUGGGGAUUAGUGUUAUUUUACGUGGAAAUCUGGAAAUCUUUGCCACACACUGUUUCGUUUUCUCGGUCAGGUGCAUUUUAAGGCGACUGACAAAUUUUGUUGUUCUCAGUGUCAAUCUUGGUCAAGAUCGACCUUGAGAUUCUUUCCAAAAUUAUAGAACUAUUUGAAAAAAGUUUCUCGAUCUCUCUUGAGGCUAUCUCGGCCAACUUUGGAUCGAGAUUAUACUACAUUAGCUUAUGUUCUUUAGCUCGGGAUUAUCUCGGGCCAACUUUGGCUCGAAAUCAUACUACAUUACCUUAUCUUCUUUAGCUCGGGGCUUUGGCCCGAGAUAGCCCUGAGCUAAAGAACAUAAGCAUAAUGUAGUAUGAUCACAGGCCAAAGCUGUCCCGAGCUAAAGAACAUAAAUAUUAUGUAGUAUGAUCUUGGGCUAAGGUUUCCCAAAGAUGUUCUUGAGAGAGAUUGAGAAAUUUUCUUUAAAGAGUUGAAAUUGACCCCGAGAAAAACAAAAUUAAUGAUGGUCUCGAGAUGCACCCAAUCAAGAGAGUGGAAUAGAGUGUGACGAGGAGAAAAACAACCAUAAUCCCUUUUUUGCUUAAUUCAUGCCCCAAUCGUAGAGUGGAGUAAAAUAACCCACUCCCCCCUCAAGUCUGCAUCCCAAGCACGCCUUAGGAGAUACAUAAGGUUAUAAAUUGUUAGUUUAAAGUAUGAAAUGAGACUAAAGCUUUUGGAUGGACGACACCAAGUCGUUCUUUGAAUUGAAAUGUAGAUAAUUGGAUGCAAAGCUGGAAAACUGGACUAAUAAAGGUCUGUAGAAGACUCAUGGUUGAUAUAUUAAAAGGGGAAAACACAAAUUUGUUGUUGUUUGUUAUUGAUAGUCUUGUAUUCCAUGAUGAAGGAAGAUAAGAGAGGAUAAGAGAAUUUUGGAUUAAAGUUUGUAAUUUUAGUUCAAACUUUUUUGAUUGGGGAGGUCUAAUUAUUCUUUGGAUUAAAAAGCAAUUAUUUAGUUGAAAGAGUUCAUAAAAGUGACGUAUUAAGAGAUACAAUAAAUUUGGUUUAAGGUUGGAGAAUAUUGUUAAAGGAUUAAUGAAAUUUAGUUGAAGGUUGGAGAUUCGACUUCAACAUUUGGAUUUAAUGGACCAUAACCAUUCUUUAGGAUAUAAAGAACAACAAAAGUGGUUUGAGAGUUCAUAAAUUGGAAAAAUUACGAGAUGCAUGCAUAAGAUUGGAGAAUUUGGGUUUAAAGUCUCCAUUGGACUACAACUUUUUUGAAUGAAGGCAUCAUGUCCUUGUUUGAUGAAAUAGUUGAUUAUUGGAUGUAGGGUCAAGACAAUGCAAUGCGCAAGUAAUAAGACUUGUGAAGGAUUUGGAUUAAGGUUGAAGAAUGUAAAUUUGGUUGAAGAAUUUGGAAAUGAACAAAGUAAGAGUGACUUAAGAUAACUUGGUUUAAGGUUGAAGAAUUCAAAAUUGGUUGAAGAGUUGAUAAAUUGAAAAAUUUUAAGAGUACAAGAAUAUGGAUUGAUUUAAAGUAUGAGAUAUAUGGGUCUACAAGUUUUUGAAGGAAGACACCAAACCGUUCUUUGCAUGAAAUUGUAGAUAAUUGGACGUGAAGCUAAGAAAUGGGAGAGUAAAGGUACUCAUAAGACUUAUGGACGAUAUAUUGAAAAAAUAAUAUGACAAAUUAGUUGUUGAUAAUUAUCUAUUUCACGAUGAAGAUAAGAAAGGAGAAGAAUUUUGGAUUAAAAUAUGUGAUUGAACUUCAACUUUUUUUCAUUAAGGUAGGAUGAUGAAGAUUUCGAAAAAUGAACAAAUUAAGAGACAACAAAGAAUGGAGUAGUUUGAUUUAAGGGUUGAGAUUCAACUUCAAGAUUUGGUUCAAGGUUGAAGGUUGAAGAAUAUAAAUUUGGUUGAAGAGUUUAGAAACGAACAAAUUAAUAAUCACUUAAAAGAUAAAUUGGUUUAAGGUUGAAGAGUUGAUAAAUUGAUAAAUUUGAGAGUACAAGAAUAGAGAUUGUUUUAAAGUAUGAGAUGGGACUACAAGUUUUUUAUGGAAGACAUUGAGCUCUUCUUUUGCAUUAAAUUGUAGAGAUGUGAAGCCAAGAAAUGAGAGAGUAAAGAUACUUAUAAGACUCAUGUGCGAUAUAUUGAAAGAGAUAAGAAAGGAGAAGAUAAUUUUGGAUUAAAAUAUGUGAUUGGACUUCAACUUUUUUUGAUUAAGGUAGAAUGUUGAAAUGUUAAAAAAAAAAGACCAACUUAAGAGACAACAAAGAUUAGAGAAGUUUGAUUUAAGGAUUUAGAUUGAACUUCAAGAUUUGGUUUAAGGUUGGAUGUUGAAAAAUAUAAAAUUGGUUGAAGAGUUUGGAAACUAACCAAUUAAGAGUCAUUUAAAAUUUAUCAAAUUUAAAUUUCGUGACAUUUAUUUGCAGUCAUUGUAUGGUCUAUCAUAAUAUAAAAAACCGACACAAUUGAUCUUUUUUAUGAUAAAAAAUAAUUAAUCAUUUUUAUGAUAAAAAAUAAUUGUCAUACCAGAAGAAUGACUAACCUCUAUAAUUUUUUAAAAAGAUUUUAGAACGGUCAAAAGUUAUUUUUCUCACUUCCAAGUUACUUCCAAGUUUCAAAUUUAAACUUUCUUUAAACUUUGUGUUACAACAAUAAAAUCUAAAUAUGAUGUGCUUGUAUAAUGUAAAAUAUACUACAGAGUACACAUUUUAAUUUUAAAAAAUUGAAUUGAGUUUAAAACGCAAUAUACUAUAUAUAUAUAAUAUACAUUUUAAAACAUCAAAUUCAAAUUUGGAAUAACUUAUUUUUUAAUUUACACGAUGAAUGUAUUUGAACUAUAUAAAAAAGAAAAACAAAAUAGAAAAUAGAACACUAUGAAAAUGAUAGGAAUGAUCAAUCUUGUACAUGGGUAUGUCAGUUAAUGUCGAAGUCAUAUUGAAGCCUGAACAAAAAAAAUAUAAUUGCAUAAGUGACUUACUAAACAUGUAUACAUUGAAAUUUGGAUAGAUGCGAGAUAAAACAUUAAAGUCUAAUAAACUUGUUAAACAUGCAUUUUGAAACUUCUAUUGAAAUUUUUGUAGGUGUGAGAUAAAACAUUACGACCCAAUAAACUUGCUAAACAUACAUAGGAUCAUUCUAAAUGGUUUUGGAAGGGUAGCAAUCUCAUUUUGAAACUCCUAUUGAAAUUUUGAUAUGUGCGAGAUAAAACAUUAAAGCUUAAUAAACUUGUUAAACAUGUAUAGGACCAUUCUAAACGGUUUAGGAAAAGUAGCAAUCUCAUUUUGAAACUUUGGUAGUUGCGAGAUACAUAUGAGAUAAAACAUUACAACUCAAUAAACUUGCUAAACAUAUAUAGGAUUAUUCUAAACGGUUUAGGAAGAGUAGUGAUCAUAUUUUGAAAGUCUUACUGAAAUUUUGGUAGGUGCGAGAUAAAACAUUAUGACUCAAUAAACUUGCUAAUCAUACAUAGGACGAUUCUAAACUGUUUAGGAAUGGUUUAAGAUUGAUUUUGAAAAAGUAGAGCUUUGGAAAAAUUUUGAAGUGAAAUAUCUAAAUACCCUUAUUUAAUUCCUCCCCUCCCCUCCUCUCCUCUCCUCUCCUCUCCUCUCCUCUUCAACCUAACAAAACAUUAAAAAAAAAAAUAAAGUAAACUCGUUCUUUUGAACUCUCCAACUUUCACACUUUAACUUCACUUCGACUUCAACUUAGGUGCCUCCGGUGAAUGCCUAUUCGAUCCAUUUCUUCUUCAUGGGUCUCUGUUUUUAGUUUUGGAAGGAGUGGAGAAGCGUUCACCGGAAUUGAAGUCAAAACUAAAAACAGAGAGUCAUGGAGAAGAAAUGGAUCCAAGAGGCGUUCAUUGGAGGCACCGAAAUUGAAGUUGAAGUGUGGAAGCGAGAGAGUUCAAAAGAACAAGUUUACUUUUUUUUUUUUAAUGUUUUGUUUUGUUUUUAGGUUGAAGAGAAGAAGUGGGGAUUAAAUAAGGGUAUUUUGGACAUUUCACUUCAAAUUUGUCCUAAAACUCUACUUUUUCAAAAUCAAUCUUAAACCCUUCCUAAACCGUUUAAAAUGGUCCUAUGUAUGAUUAGCAAGUUUAUUGGGUCGUAAUGUCUUAUCUCGCACUUACCAAAAUUUCAGUAGGAGUUUCAAAAUGAGAUUACUACCUUUCCUAGACCGUUUAAAAUGACCUUAUCUAUGUUUAGCAAGUUUAUUGGGUCAUAAUGUUUUAUCUCACACCUACCAAAAUUUCAGUAGGAGUUUCAAAAUAUGAUCACUACCCUUCCUAAACCGUUUAGAAUGGACCUAUGCAUGUUUAGUAAGUUUAUUAGGCUUUAAUAUUUUAUCUUGCACUUAUCUAAAUUUCAAUGUAUACAUGUUUAAUAAGUCGCUUAUGCCUUCAACAAUCUAAGUCACUAAGACAAAAUAUACUAUCAUGUUUAAUAAGUCUCUUAUGCCUUCAACAUAUUGUUAAGGGAGGUGGAAGAUGAAGGGAAAGAUCAUAUAAAUUUCAUGAUAGGAGGAGUUGUGUGUACUUUUCUUGUUUUGAUUGCUUAUAGGCUCAAAUGAGACGUAUGUAGGGACCUCCAAUGUAUUUUCACCAAUAAUAUAAAAUUUUAAAUCACGGUUAUUGUUUAAAUCAAAUGGAGGAGUUUCGUAUUUCAGUUUUAUCUCAUAUAUGCAUCUUAUCAUUAUGUCGAACUCUGUAGGGUCCACUUUUACAUGGUUAUAUAAUUCUGCCAAUAAAUUUGUAUGUGUUAUUUCUUUACUGACAAUAAUGUCGUUUAACAUGCCUCCUUCGUCCUUCAUCCCAUGUAUCAUCGUAACACACUAAAAUCUGAACAUGUGACAUUCUUAAACUUUUUAAUUCCUACAAAAAUUUAUUUGAAGUUAGAAUUUCACAUAUCACAUAAAAAAAUGACUUAUUUUGCAAGAUUAAAAAACAGUAGUUAAACACUAAAUAAAACGUGCAUAGUUGCAAGUAUAUGACUAAUUCAAUCUUAGACAUUUAAAGUUUGGCAGCUAUGAGUUGUUUAUGAGAUUGCAAGAUACAAAAAAACAAUAAUUAAAAGUACCUUAAUCACAUAAGAACAAGUAUAAUUCAUUUGAGAUUAAACAUUUGAAUUUAAGAAUUUGCGCUGCGAGAUAAAAAAAAAACAAAUAACUUGCUGACAUUCUUUGAAACAAUCCUAAAUUAACUGGAAACAAUUAAAAAUUAUAUUUGAUUUAUACAUUUAAGAUUCAUAUAUAUAUAUAUAAACACAACACGAUUCGAAUAAAGAAAAAACAAAACAAAUAUCAAAACAAAUCACAUUGCGUGAGACGUUCAUUGGAGUAGAGGGUGAACGGCAUUGGAGUAAAAGUGGAACUUUUCACAUAGGAGAAGAACUACAAAUGAGUUUUUCUUUUUCCUUUACGUAUUACGUUCUACAAUGUUGCCUUUAUUAUAGCAAAGAUGGAGGUUAAGAUCAAAGAUGGAGGUUAAGAUCAAAGAUGGAGGUUAAGAUCUUCAUUUAGUGUCUUUUUCUCACUGGUAUUUACAUUGUUGGUAUUGAUCCAAACACAAAACCGAACUUGUCAUGGAGCUUGCACACGGAGGAUCGGAGUGGUGAAUCGCCAUUUUUGCUUAGAAGCCACGAACCUAUAGGAACAAGAACAACUGUUUAGUGCUUACUUUUGUUCAAUACAAAAAUAAGUAUGUUGUAAUCAGUUAGUUAAAAGAGAAUAUUUGUUUUUUUUCAAGUUUCAACAGUUGUGAGGACGGACAUCUAAUCGAGCUUGAAUUAACUUGGGAAUAGGCUACUUUACUUGAAGUUCCUUUUUGUAAGUUCAUGUAAAUUAUCUGUACACAACCACAAGUAAUUAAGUUGAUUAAUUGUAACGUCACAUUUAUAUUGGCUGGUUUUAUUAUCUCCUUUUGGAAAAA